CGACAUCUGGCUGCGGGAUACCGGCGGCGUCUUCGUUCAGAACGAGGAGGGGGAGCUGGGGCUGGUGGAUUUCAACUUCAACGGCUGGGGUGACAA
rnacentral:tRNA from 1 species